CCUCCGUUCUUCCGCCGUUUUUACUAUUGGGCCAUGGACGCAAGUCUGACCCAGCAACGCCGCGUGAAGGAAGAAGGCUUUCGGGUUGUAAACUUCUUUUAAGGGGGACGAGCAGAAGACGGUACCCCUUGAAUAAGCCACGGCUAACUACGUGCCAGCAGCCGCGGUAAUACGUAGGGGGCAAGCGUUGUCCGGAUUUACUGGGUGUAAAGGGCGUGCAGCCGGAGAGACAAGUCAGAUGUGAAAUCCACGGGCUCAACCCGUGAACUGCAUUUGAAACUGUUUCCCUUGAGUGUCGGAGAGGUAAUCGGAAUUCCUGGUGUAGCGGUGAAAUGCGUAGAUAUAAGGAAGAACACCAGUGGCGAAGGCGGAUUACUGGACGAUAACUGACGGUGAGGCGCGAAAGCGUGGGGAGCAAACAGGAUUAGAUACCCGAGUAGUC
rnacentral:rRNA from 1 species